rnacentral:tRNA from 1 species
GGUUCCAUAGUGUAGCAGUUAGCACGUCUGCUUUACACACAGAAGGUCUUGGGUUCAUACUUCAGUGGAACCA